rnacentral:rRNA from 1 species
AAACCGCCUAGAGGUAAACGGGUGGAUCCGCAAAGUCGGCCUGCGGAAUUCAGCUCAGAAGGCGAGCGCCCGGGUUGCGGGUCGGGGAUCUUGAUCGACCCUCCCGCUCCGGGACCGCGCGUCGGCUGUGUGCACUUUCCGCGGGCAGAGCGCCACGACCGGUUCUCGGGCAGUCAGAAGGCGGCGGGGAUGGUAGGCGCGCGCUUCGGCGCGCGCUGGUAUAGCCCCGCCUGUCCCGAUCUGCUCGGGGACCGAGGAGCCGCCGCCGGCGUGGGCCGCCUCGCCCUCUCGGGAUGUUCGACUGGCAGAGACCGGGCAACCGUGUCUGCCGACCGCUUCUCGGGACGGACUUGGGGUGGGCCCGCCGGCACAGGGUCGGUGGCGAAUCGGUCGGCCCUCCACCCGACCCGUCUUGAA